ensembl:lncRNA
CAGGAAGUGACAUAGCAGGCAGACUCAGAAUGUAAGCAGGAAAUCGUCCUCUGGCUCUUCCUUUUCCUCCUGCUCUCUUCUCUAUGGAGCCACCAUGUGAUCCCGGGAAGAGGACACUAGUGGAAGGCAUCCUCAAUAAGAUAAGUCUUGUAAAAUAUAUAGAUAAGACUGAGCUAGCACAUAAGAAAUCCUAGUCAAUUGGCCAGAAGCAUUGUAAACUAAUAUAAGACUCUGUGUGUUAUUCUGGAUUGCCCACAUGGCAGUGGGGCUUGGGCAGAUGGAGUAAAGACUUAUGCUUACAGAAUGGUGUCAGUGAGUAGCAUUACCCCAUGCCCUGAGAUUCCCAGAGGAAGUGGUGAACCUGCUGCCACAGCCUGCCCUGUUAAGCCGCUGAGCAUCAGAGCAGCUUCCAUACAUGCUUGCCAUUGGACACUCUUGGGUGUUGGACUCAGUGCUCCCGAGAUGGCCUGCAGCCCUCGAGAGUUCUAGGGUUAGGAUUCUGUGCUCUCACCACUUCGAGCCACCAGUCGCUGCAAGUCAUGAACCACCAUGCAUCAAGAGCUGCCUUCCUCGACUAGGCAAGCAGUGGCAGAACCCAGGCAGCUGGUGGUAGUGUUACAAACCUCCAUGUAAACUUCACAAAAGCUUAAAAAGGGAUUCUGGAAGCAAAAGAACAGAGACAAGCAUGACUUCUUGGUAACAGCAUUUUCUCGGGUGGGCUCUGUUUUGCUAGAGACAAGCAGAGACUCGAGCAGUCCCUUAAGGGAGGUUUCCUGACCCAGCAUAAAUGGCAAAACCACAUGGCUAUUUUAAGAGGCCCAGCUAGCUCAUUCAGUAAAGCAUGAGACUCUUAAUGUGGGUUCAUACCCCACACAGCUGGCAGUGGCAGUGACCACAUCUCCAAGCUGACAUGCUUCUUGGUGGCAGCACAGACCAAGGCAGUGAGCACAGUUCUCAGUCUGGGGAAAAGACAGCCACUAAGAAAGCGACUGCUUUGAUUUUGGCAGCGUUGUUUAACAGUUGAAAGACUGUGUGGCCAGGAAAAGGUAAAGUUUUACAGUAAAAACAGACUCAGAUGAAGAAAAACCUCUAAAGGUUUACACUGUGUUUAAAAAUAUAUGUAGGCUUGUGAGAGAAAAAGAAACAGGAGGAAAUAGAGUAGCUGGGUGUGAUGGCACAUGCCUUUAAUCCCAGCACUUGGGAGACAGAGGCAAGCAUAUCUUGGUGACUUCAAGGCCAGCCUAUUGUACAGAGUGAAUGCAAGGGCAGCCAAAGUUGCACAGAUAAUCCCUGUCCCAUAAAAGGAAAAAAAUAAAAGUAAAAGGAAUAGAAUAAUAAAAAGCCAAGUAAAUAUGAAAAAUAUACAGGGUCUGGAUACUAUGCUAUAUUGUUGUCUUUAAACUGUUUGAUUGCUGAGGAAAUAGCAACAACUGCUAACAGACAUUUGAUUAUAAAUGCUGCUAAAUUAAUACAACUUAUACACUUUAAAAAUGCUUUGACUCCAAAAUUUAAGUCUAAGGACAGGCUACUUGGAAAAAAGAAUUUCUGCUUUUGUUUACACAGGAAAUGAAAAGCUAUGGAUUCCUUCCAGACUAAUAUGGUUUGAUGAAGCAAGACCACCUGAAGCAGUGACCCAACAAGAUCCUACAUCCAAAACAGCUGAGAUGAUGCAGCCUUGCAGACUACACAAACAAGGACUAUGGCCAGUCCCUUAGGUAAGUGGUGUUUCCUUCAAUGCAGACAGGACUGACAGCAGGAGAGGUUCAUUGGGAAGGUAAAGAGACCGCUGGCUUUGUUGUAGAUGGAGACUGGUUCUGGCCUAUGUUCUUCCCUGUAGCACCCACACUUAAAAAGUCCCAGACCACAGAGAGCAGCACUCAGCAAUCCUCAGCCCUGAGAAGAGCUCUACUCUUCAAGAGGAAAAGGUACUGGGUGAUUUCCAGUAGAAGAAAAGUACGCUCUCACUGGCCAAAUUAGCCAAAUUGUAGACCACCACAAGAGAACUGCACACUACAUGAAAAUUACUUUUCCUGUGUGGUCUGUUUUUACAAGGUAAUGGAUCCCAGAGCUUUUAAUUACAAUACUACCACAUACAAUAUAACUUUGGAGUAGUUAUUUAGAGUAUUAACACUGUUUUUUUUUCC